rnacentral:rRNA from 1 species
CCUACGGGAGGCAGCAGUGGGGAAUUUUGGACAAUGGGCGCAAGCCUGAUCCAGCCAUGCCGCGUGUCUGAAGAAGGCCUUCGGGUUGUAAAGGACUUUUGUCAGGGAAGAAAAGGCUUUUGCUAAUACCAGGAGCUGAUGACGGUACCUGAAGAAUAAGCACCGGCUAACUACGUGCCAGCAGCCGCGGUAAUACGUAGGGUGCGAGCGUUAAUCGGAAUUACUGGGCGUAAAGCGGGCGCAGACGGUUUGUUAAGCAGGAUGUGAAAUCCCCGGGCUCAACCUGGGAACUGCGUUCUGAACUGGCAGGCUAGAGUGUGUCAGAGGGGGGUAGAAUUCCACGUGUAGCAGUGAAAUGCGUAGAGAUGUGGAGGAAUACCGAUGGCGAAGGCAGCCCCCUGGGAUAACACUGACGUUCAUGCCCGAAAGCGUGGGUAGCAAACAGGAUUAGAUACCCCAGUAGUC